ACGGGACCAACACAGAGAAUGCAACAGACAG
rnacentral:piRNA from 1 species